AUGUCUACCAAUGGUGUCGAGAUUAAUGGGAUUUCUGCUGCGUCCGGUGCGAGGAGCACUUCCGUCUUGCCAUUGGAGUCCCAGGAUUCCAUGAGCGUCCCAAACGACGUGUUCGCUGCCGCCGGUUGUGCUCGGCCGCAUGUGGAUGCAGUGGUGGGCGAGGUGUGCUCUGAAACCACCAGCGGCUGGACGCGCAGGGUCAGGGUGGGUAAAGCUCCCGAGGAGAGGGAGAUGAAUCCAAACAGGAUUUCAGCUCUGGAAUUGUCUGUCCGUGCUUAUACAGAGAAGAGGGAUGGACCUGUUGUGUACCCAAGCAUUGGUACAAGCUUUGACUCCUUGGACGAAGCUUAUGAAUUCUAUAAUCUGUAUUCGUGGGAGUGCGGAUUUGGUGUUAGACUUGCCAAGAGCAGAUUGAAUGUUGAAAGGAAGAGAUGCAUGCAAGAGAUUGUGUGUGCUUGUGCGGGGGAACCAUUGAGGGAAAACAGCCGCUCGGCCAGAUGCGGAUGCAAUGCUAUGAUCAGGUUGCCGCGGUCAAAUGACAAGGGGUGGUACAUAGCAGAACACAAAGAUGACCAUAACCACCCGUUGUCGUUGACGUGUGGACAGAAAUGUAGGGGAACGUAG
rnacentral:rRNA from 1 species